rnacentral:rRNA from 1 species
UGAGGAAUAUUGGUCAAUGGACGCAAGUCUGAACCAGCCAAGUAGCGUGCAGGAUGACGGCCCUAUGGGUUGUAAACUGCUUUUAUAUGGGGAUAAAGUGGGGAACGUGUUCCCUUUUGCAGGUACCAUAUGAAUAAGGACCGGCUAAUUCCGUGCCAGCAGCCGCGGUAAUACGGAAGGUUCGGGCGUUAUCCGGAUUUAUUGGGUUUAAAGGGAGCGUAGGCCGUUUGGUAAGCGUGUUGUGAAAUGUAGGAGCUCAACUUCUAGAUUGCAGCGCGAACUGUCAGACUUGAGUGCGCACAACGUAGGCGGAAUUCAUGGUGUGGCGGUGAAAUGCUUAGAUAUCAUGAAGAACUCCGAUUGCGAAGGCAGCUUACGGGAGCGCAACUGACGCUGAAGCUCGAAGGUGCGGGUAUCGAACAGG